UUUAUUUAUUUGGCCAAGUUGCUAUUAUAAGUGCUUCUUGUUUUAAGUACGUACUUUGAAGUUGCGCCUGAAUUGAUCAUCUCUUAACAUCCAACUCUAAUCACUGAGAUUUAACUUCAAUUUUUUCGAGUGGUUUCAGCAGUUGUUUGCCUCGUCGGAAGCUAAUCUUAGAAUUGAACUCAAUUUUUUCCGUUAUUUUCAUUUUCUUGCUGAAUGGAUACUUGCCCCCGUGUCAAAUCUAGCUACGGAAUUUUGUGCGAAUAUAUCUAUGGAUACUAAUUUCAAGCAGAACUUCCUACACAAUUAUUAGCGGAAUUACAUGCUACAUUGUCUGCCGAAAAUGUACUGCAAGAAAAAUUGUAGAAAAAUGCCUUGGAGGGAAAUUCAUUGGCCAAAAUUUUGCUGGGAAUUUGUUCGAUUAUCCUGUGGAAAUAUUUAAGGGAACAUUACCUGUGAA